GCAGUGCUGGUUCAGCGGUAGAAUUCUCACCUUCCAUGCGGGAGACCUGGGUUCAAUACCUGGCCGAUGCG
rnacentral:tRNA from 1 species